ensembl:lncRNA novel transcript
GUGGAGUAUAAAUACUGCACCAAGGACCUGGCUACAAAAAAUAAAUAUUUAUAUUAUAUUUAUAUAUCUAUAUAUAUAUGUGCAGUGAUACUGUGGCUGCGCUGCUCUUUGAUUGGCUUCGUUAAUAUUUGGCAAAGCAUUGCCACUUACCCACUCAGCGAAGAUGCACAAAAACGUCAUCACUGAUUCUUUCAGUUCGAUGCCUGUUAACUGCGGGUGUAAACUGCUGGUGAUGGUGUCAUUUACUACCAAAGAAGUGUGGAGCAGGAUGGGUGAGAGAGUGAGUGAGUGAGCAGGUGGAAGGACAGUGGGUGAAGGAUAAAAAGGUGGGAAACAUUUUUUUUUUAAAAAGUGAAACUUCAAAUACAGCGGAGGUGGCUUCUUUCCUAUGAGGCUGGCUGAUGGGUGCCAGAUACCAAGGCCCAUGUGUUACUGAGGAGACAGCCUGCUGGGCUGGGGUCAGGAGCUAGCGGAGGGAAACGGUUAGAUCUCAGAAAAAUCUCAUCACUAUGCCCUAGUAGCUUAAUGACAUCACUAGCAUGAGCACAUGGUGUACUUGGCGGGAUCUUACAGCUCUGUUGCCCAUCUCAAGACCUAAGAACAAUUAUUAAGUUUAGCCAAAUCUUGCAUAGACGUGGUUAGAAUUUAUUGCACAUUGGAACAAAAAUAUAUAUUUUUUGUUGUUUUGGAAAAGACCAUUAGCAAUAAAAAAUUUUUUGUCUGUCUGUCUGGUUUGGGGAUGUACAUUGGCUGACAGCAUCUAAGUUCUAAGAAGAAAGAAAAGUAUAAAAAAUAAAAAUAAACAUGACAAUGGCAUAAGCCAGAAGCCAUUUCCUAUUUAAUAAGUUAAUAAUUUGUAUUUACAAAAAGGCAUGCCAAUAAAAUAAAAUUAUAUA